ensembl:lncRNA
AUAUAUAUAUAUAUAUAUAAAAUUUGAUUAACAUUUUGUACACCACGUCCGGUUAUCCACCAAUUAUCAGCCAUCUUACAACAGAAAUAAGCAGAAAUAUAAAAUGCACUUUGACUAAAGGACUAAGAAUAUAUACAGUUGGUCACUGUAGGUAUGUGUCAGUUAGUCACUGUAGUUAUGUGGCAGUUGGUCAUUGUAGGUAUGUGGCAGUUGGUCAUUGUAGGUAUGUGUCAGUUGGUCACUGUAGGUAUGUGUCAGUUGGUCACUGUAGGUAUGUGGCAGUUGGUCACUUUAGGUAUGUGUCAGUUGGUCACUGUAGGCAUGUGCAGUUGAUCACUUUAGGUAUGUGGCAGUUGGUUACUGUAGGUAUGUGUCAGUUGGUCACUGUAGGUAUGUGGCAGUUGGUCAUUGUAGGUAUGUGUCAGUUGGUCACUGUAGGUAUGUGUCAGUUGGUCACUGUAGGCAUGUGUCAGUUGUUUUGAAGGGAUUAUUUACUAAUUGGAUUUGUACAUUGGAUGUUUUAAUAAUUUUUGAAUGUACAAGAACAAUGUGGUUGUAUUUUGAUUUCUUUACUGGGACUAAAUUCAUAAAAAAAAAAAAAAUACAAAUACGCUUAGCCUUAACCUUUGUAUAUUUUCAUAUAAAGUGCGUC